rnacentral:rRNA from 1 species
GAUGAACGCUGGCGGCGUGCCUAAUACAUGCAAGUCGAGCGAACGGACGAGAAGCUUGCUUCUCUGAUGUUAGCGGCGGACGAGUGAGUAACACGUGGAUAACCUACCUAUAAGACUGGGAUAACUUCGGGAAACCGGAGCUGAUACCGGAUAAUAUUUUGAACCGCAUGGUUCAAAAGUGAAAGACGGUCUUGCUGUCACUUAUAGAUGGAUCCGCGCUGCAUUAGCUAGUUGGUAAGGUAACGGCUUACCAAGGCAACGAUGCAUAGCCGACCUGAGAGGGUGAUCGGCCACACUGGAACUGAGACACGGUCCAGACUCCUACGGGAGGCAGCAGUAGGGAAUCUUCCGCAAUGGGCGAAAGCCUGACGGAGCAACGCCGCGUGAGUGAUGAAGGUCUUCGGAUCGUAAAACUCUGUUAUUAGGGAAGAACAUAUGUGUAAGUAACUGUGCACAUCUUGACGGUACCUAAUCAGAAAGCCACGGCUAACUACGUGCCAGCAGCCGCGGUAAUACGUAGGUGGCAAGCGUUAUCCGGAAUUAUUGGGCGUAAAGCGCGCGUAGGCGGUUUUUUAAGUCUGAUGUGAAAGCCCACGGCUCAACCGUGGAGGGUCAUUGGAAACUGGAAAACUUGAGUGCAGAAGAGGAAAGUGGAAUUCCAUGUGUAGCGGUGAAAUGCGCAGAGAUAUGGAGGAACACCAGUGGCGAAGGCGACUUUCUGGUCUGUAACUGACGCUGAUGUGCGAAAGCGUGGGGAUCAAACAGGAUUAGAUACCCUGGUAGUCCACGCCGUAAACGAUGAGUGCUAAGUGUUAGGGGGUUUCCGCCCCUUAGUGCUGCAGCUAACGCAUUAAGCACUCCGCCUGGGGAGUACGACCGCAAGGUUGAAACUCAAAGGAAUUGACGGGGACCCGCACAAGCGGUGGAGCAUGUGGUUUAAUUCGAAGCAACGCGAAGAACCUUACCAAAUCUUGACAUCCUUUGACAACUCUAGAGAUAGAGCCUUCCCCUUCGGGGGACAAAGUGACAGGUGGUGCAUGGUUGUCGUCAGCUCGUGUCGUGAGAUGUUGGGUUAAGUCCCGCAACGAGCGCAACCCUUAAGCUUAGUUGCCAUCAUUAAGUUGGGCACUCUAAGUUGACUGCCGGUGACAAACCGGAGGAAGGUGGGGAUGACGUCAAAUCAUCAUGCCCCUUAUGAUUUGGGCUACACACGUGCUACAAUGGGACAAUACAAAGGGCAGCGAAACCGCGAGGUCAAGCAAAUCCCAUAAAGUUGUUCUCAGUUCGGAUUGUAGUCUCCACCUCGACUACAUGAAGCUGGAAUCGCUAGUACUGAUAGAUCAGCAUGCUACGGAAAGACGUUCCCGGGUCU